CCUACGGGGGACAGCAGUGAGGAAUAUUGGUCAAUGGGCGGAAGCCUGAACCAGCCAAGUAGCGUGCGGGAUGAAGGCCCUACGGGUCGUAAACCGCUUUUGCACGGGGAUAACACCCUCCACUUGUGGAGGUCUGCAGGUACCGUGCGAAUAAGGGCCGGCUAAUUCCGUGCCAGCAGCCGCGGUAAUACGGAAGGCCCGAGCGUUAUCCGGAUUCAUUGGGCUUAAAGGGAGCGUAGGCGGGCGUUCAAGUCAGCUGUAAAAUCGCGCGGCUCAACCGCGCCCCGCAGUUGAAACUGGACGCAUUGAGUACACAACAGGCAGGCGGAAUUCGUGGUGUAGCGGUGAAAUGCAUAGAUAUCACGAGGAACCCCGAUUGCGAAGGCAGCCUGCCGGGGUGCGACUGACGCUGAGGCUCGAAGGUGCGGGUAUCAAACAGGAUUAGAUACCCCAGUAGUC
rnacentral:rRNA from 1 species